UUAACCUCAAUUUUUAUGGAGUUGGAACGUUUAGUACGUUUGCCGCUAGGGGCGCUGUUCCAACUGCAUACAAAGUUGACUUA
rnacentral:pre_miRNA from 1 species